GCUCCCGUGGUUUAGUUGGUCAUAACGUCUGCUUCACACGCAGAAGGUCCGCAGUUCGAAUCUGCGCGGGAGUA